UAUGCAUGACUCAGGUUUAAGACAGGCCCCCGUGGCUCAAACACAGAUGCUAACACCAAAAGGUACCUUGUCGCCUUUGGAGGACUUCCUGUGCUCUUCAAAGUGAAUUUAGAGGUUCUACACAC
ensembl:snoRNA